UACGUAGGGGGCAAGCGUUGUCCGGAUUUAUUGGGCGUAAAGAGCGUGUAGGCGGCUAGGUAGGUCCGUUGUGAAAGUCGAGGGCUCAACCCUCGAAUGCCGGUGGAUACUGUCGGGCUUGAGUACGGGAGAGGCGAGUGGAAUUCCUGGUGUAGCGGUGAAAUGCGCAGAUAUCAGGAGGAACACCGAUUGCGAAGGCAGCUCGCUGGAACGUUACUGACGCUGAGACGCGAAAGCGUGGGGAGCAAACAGG
rnacentral:rRNA from 1 species